rnacentral:lncRNA from 1 species
UUAAUAAUAAUAAUAAUAAUUUAUUUCAAAAUAAAUGUUACAUUUUAAAUAUAGGUAAAACUCUGCUCCCUAAAUAGGUAAAUCCUGUACUUUAGGAUAAGCAGUGCUCUUCCCUAUACGGCAUAUUGACACAAAAUUAUAUAAAAAA